GACGAACGCUGGCGGCGUGCCUAAUACAUGCAAGUGGGACGCAAGGGAACACACUGUGCUUGCACACCGUGUUUUCUUGAGUCGCGAACGGGUGAGUAACGCGUAGGUAACCUGCCUAUUAGCGGGGGAUAACUAUUGGAAACGAUAGCUAAUACCGCAUAAUAUUAAUUAUUGCAUGAUAAUUGAUUGAAAGAUGCAAGCGCAUCACUAGUAGAUGGACCUGCGUUGUAUUAGCUAGUUGGUAAGGUAAGAGCUUACCAAGGCGACGAUACAUAGCCGACCUGAGAGGGUGAUCGGCCACACUGGGACUGAGACACGGCCCAGACUCCUACGGGAGGCAGCAGUAGGGAAUCUUCGGCAAUGGACGAAAGUCUGACCGAGCAACGCCGCGUGAGUGAAGAAGGUUUUCGGAUCGUAAAGCUCUGUUGUAAGUCAAGAACGUGUGUGAGAGUGGAAAGUUCACACGGUGACGGUAGCUACCA
rnacentral:rRNA from 1 species